CUUCUUGGAUGACCUAAUGGAAGACCUUAGCAGUGACAGUGCCGAGGGAAAGGCCCAUCUUUCCCCAAGGCCUCGGGUAAUGCCUGACACUUGUGCAAGAACCCAGGAAAAACCUAUACUUGAAUGGUCAAGUCAGGCCAGCAAAUACUGUGCAAGGAAUAGGCAGUGGAGGAGAGAGGUUGGCUUGUGGAGAACAUCAAGGACUCCAGCAGUGAGGUGGAAGACUCUCCA